rnacentral:rRNA from 1 species
GAAGAUUACAUUUCUAGAAUUAGUUAGAGGGCACUGGAAUUCAAUGUGUAGUGGUGGAAUACGUAGAUAUAUUGAGGAACACCAGAGGCUAAGGCGAGUGCCUGGAACAUAAUUGACGCUGAGGCUUGAAAGCGUGGGUAGCAAAUGGGAUUAGAUACCCCAGUAGUCCACGCCGUAAACGAUGGGUAUUAGUCAUUUGGAUUUAAGCUGAGUGAUGUAGCUAACGCGUUAAAUACCCCGCCUGGGUAGUAUAUAUGCAAAUAUGAAACUCAAAGAAAUUGACGGGGACCUGAACAAGUGGUGGAGCAUGUUGCUUAAUUCGAUAAUACACGCAAAACCUUACCAAGGCUUGCAAUCUUCUGCAAAGCUAUAGAAAUAUAGUGGAGGCUAUCAGAAUGACAGGUGGUGCAUGGCUGUCGUCAGCUCGUGUCUUGAGAUGUUUGGUUAAGUCCCGUAACGAGCGCAACCCUUCAUAUUAGUUGUUUAGUUCUAGUAUGACUGAAUCGUAAGAUCUAGGAAGGAUGGGGCCAAGUCAAGUCAUCAUGCCCCUUAUGCCUUGGGCUGCAAACGUGCUACAAUGGUAGAUACAAUGUGUUACAAUCUAGCGAUAGUGAGUUAAUCACCUAAAGUCUAUCUCAGUCCGGAUAAAAGGCUGCAAUUCGCCUAUUUGAAGAUGGAAUCACUAGUAAUCCUGUGUCAGCUAUAUCAGGGUGAAUACGUUCCCAGGUCUUGUACACACCGCCCGUCAAACUACGAAAGAAAGUACUAAUUAAAACCGUAUUUAAUUACGUCUAGAUU